UUAUCCUUUGCAGACGACUUGAAUGGGAACAGGGUGCUGUAAGCAGUAGAGUAGCCUCGUUGCUACGAUCUGCUGAGGGCUAAGCCUUUGUUCUAUAGAUUUGUUUGACACAGUCAAACCACUUUCUUCCCAGUACGCACCCAAUGGAGGUGUGUACCAUCGACAGUCCCCACACACGCACAAGUCCCAGCGUCGGCCAGCGCGUAGGUGGAUCUUAUCCUAUUCCCCUUUUCCUUCUCCUUUCCCUUCCCUUUCCCUUGCCCUGCUUCCCUCUUCCCUAUCCCUUACCCCCUCCCUCGCCCUCUCUUGGCCUCGCACAUGCGCGCGUGCACUUGCUCUCCAGCACUUGCACGCGCGCGCCCAGACGCUUGCCCCCCCGAACUUUCCCCUUUAUUACCGUGCCUACGACACUAGUCACCAUCUGCGGCCCAC
rnacentral:misc_RNA from 1 species